CAAUAGCGUAUAUUAAAGUUGUUGCAGUUAAAAAGCUCGUAGUUGAAUUUCUGGCGGGCGCGCCGGUCUUCCAAGUGUUGUACUGGGCGCAGUCCGCCAUCCUUGUGGAGAGGGCUCGCAUUGAGUUGCGUGUCGGAUCUGCAUCAUUUACUGUGAAAAAAUUAGAGUGUUUAAAGCAGGCUGUCGCUUGAAUACAUUAGCAUGGAAUAAUAAGAUAGGACUUCGGUCUAUUUUGUUGGUUGCGAACCGAGGUAAUGAUUAAUAGGGAUAGUUGGGGGUAUUCAUAUUUAAUUGUCAGAGGUGAAAUUCUUGGAUUUAUGAAAGAUGAACAACUGCGAAAGCAUUUACCAAGGAUGUCUUCAUUA
rnacentral:rRNA from 1 species